CUUAACACAUGCAAGUCGAGGGGCAGCAUUUUAGUUUGCUUGCAAACUGAAGAUGGCGACCGGCGCACGGGUGAGUAACACGUAUCCAACCUGCCGAUAACUCCGGGAUAGCCUUUCGAAAGAAAGAUUAAUACCGGAUAGCAUACGAAUAUCGCAUGAUAUUUUUAUUAAAGAAUUUCGGUUAUCGAUGGGGAUGCGUUCCAUUAGUUUGUUGGCGGGGUAACGGCCCACCAAGACUACGAUGGAUAGGGGUUCUGAGAGGAAGGUCCCCCACAUUGGAACUGGGACACGGUCCAAACUCCUACGGGAGGCAGCAGUGAGGAAUAUUGGUCAAUGGGCGCGAGCCUGAACCAGCCAAGUAGCGUGAAGGAUGAAGACUCUAUGGGUCGUAAACUUCUUUUAUAUGGGAAUAAAGUUUUCCACGUGUGGAAUUUUGUAUGUACCAUAUGAAUAAGGAUCGGCUAACUCCGUGCCAGCAGCCGCGGUAAUACGGAGGAUCCGAGCGUUAUCCGGAUUUAUUGGGUUUAAAGGGAGCGUAGGUGGAUUGUUAAGUCAGUUGUGAAAGUUUGCGGCUCAACCGUAAAAUUGCAGUUGAAACUGGCAGUCUUGAGUACAGUAGAGGUGGGCGGAAUUCGUGGUGUAGCGGUGAAAUGCUUAGAUAUCACGAAGAACUCCGAUUGCGAAGGCAGCUCACUAGACUGUCACUGACACUGAUGCUCGAAAGUGUGGGUAUCAAACAGGAUUAGAUACCCUGGUAGUCCACACAGUAAACGAUGAAUACUCGCUGUUUGCGAUAUACAGUAAGCGGCCAAGCGAAAGCAUUAAGUAUUCCACCUGGGGAGUACGCCGGCAACGGUGAAACUCAAAGGAAUUGACGGGGGCCCGCACAAGCGGAGGAACAUGUGGUUUAAUUCGAUGAUACGCGAGGAACCUUACCCGGGCUUAAAUUGCAACAGAAUAUAUUGGAAACAGUAUAGCCGUAAGGCUGUUGUGAAGGUGCUGCAUGGUUGUCGUCAGCUCGUGCCGUGAGGUGUCGGCUUAAGUGCCAUAACGAGCGCAACCCUUAUCUUUAGUUACUAACAGGUCAUGCUGAGGACUCUAGAGAGACUGCCGUCGUAAGAUGUGAGGAAGGUGGGGAUGACGUCAAAUCAGCACGGCCCUUACGUCCGGGGCUACACACGUGUUACAAUGGGGGGUACAGAAGGCGGCUACCUGGUGACAGGAUGCUAAUCCCAAAAACCUCUCUCAGUUCGGAUCGAAGUCUGCAACCCGACUUCGUGAAGCUGGAUUCGCUAGUAAUCGCGCAUCAGCCAUGGCGCGGUGAAUACGUUCCCGGGCCUUGUACACACCGCCCGUCAAGCCAUGAAAGCCGGGGGUACCUGAAGUACGUAACCGCAAGGAGCGUCCUAGGGUAAAACUGGUAAUUGGGGCUAAAU
rnacentral:rRNA from 1 species